rnacentral:rRNA from 1 species
UGAUGCAGCAACGCCGCGUGAAGGAUGAAGGUUUCGGAUUGUAAACUUCUUAGUCAGGGACGAAUAAAUGACGGUACCUGAAGAAUAAGCCACGGCUAACUACGUGCCAGCAGCCGCGGUAAUACGUAGGUGGCGAGCGUUGUCCGGAAUUACUGGGUGUAAAGGGCGUGUAGGCGGGAAUGUAAGUCAGAUGUGAAAUCCCAGGGCUCAACCCUGGAGCUGCAUCUGAAACUAUGUUUCUUGAGUGUCGGAGAGGAAAGCGGAAUUCCUAGUGUAGCGGUGAAAUGCGUAGAUAUUAGGAGGAACACCAGUGGCGAAGGCGGCUUUCUGGACGAUAACUGACGCUGAGGCGCGAAAGCGUGGGGAGCAAACAGGAUUAGAUACCCUGGUAGUCCACGCUGUAAACGAUGGAUACUAGGUGUAGGAGGUAUCGACCCCUUCUGUGCCGGAGUUAACACAAUAAGUAUCCCACCUGGGGAGUACGGCCGCAAGGUUG